rnacentral:tRNA from 1 species
GCGGGAGGUGGCGCUCGCCGACCAGCGCGUCGUGCCCGCCGUGCUCGAGGGAGCGGGGCACCGGUUCCGCCGGCCGACGCUCGAGGCGUCGCUCCGGCACCA